rnacentral:rRNA from 1 species
GAUGAACGCUGGCGGCGUGCCUAAUACAUGCAAGUCGAGCGAACAGAUGAGGAGCUUGCUCCUCUGACGUUAGCGGCGGACGGGUGAGUAACACGUGGAUAACCUACCUAUAAGACUGGGAUAACUUCGGGAAACCGGAGCUAAUACCGGAUAAUAAAUUGAACCGCAUGGUUCAAUAGUGAAAGACGGUUUUGCUGUCACUUAUAGAUGGAUCCGCGCCGCAUUAGCUAGUUGGUAAGGUAACGGCUUACCAAGGCAACGAUGCGUAGCCGACCUGAGAGGGUGAUCGGCCACACUGGAACUGAGACACGGUCCAGACUCCUACGGGAGGCAGCAGUAGGGAAUCUUCCGCAAUGGGCGAAAGCUUGACGGAGCAACGCCGCGUGAGUGAUGAAGGUCUUCGGAUCGUAAAACUCUGUUAUUAGGGAAGAACAAAUGUGUAAGUAACUAUGCACGUCUUGACGGUACCUAAUCAGAAAGCCACGGCUAACUACGUG